GAUGAACGCUGGCUACAGGCUUAACACAUGCAAGUCGUGGGGAAACGGCAUUAUGUGCUUGCACAUUCUGGACGUCGACCGGCGCACGGGUGAGUAUCGCGUAUCCAACCUGCCCCUUACUUGGGGAUACUCCGUUGAAAGACGGCCUAAUACCCGAUGUGUUUCAUUGACGGCAUCCGAUAUGAAACAAAGGUUUUCCGGUAAGGGAUGGGGAUGCGUCUGAUUAGCUUGUUGGCGGGGCAACGGCCCACCAAGGCGACGAUCAGUAGGGGUUCUGAGAGGAAGGUCCCCCACAUUGGAACUGAGACACGGUCCAAACUCCUACGGGAGGCAGCAGUGAGGAAUAUUGGUCAAUGGACGCAAGUCUGAACCAGCCAAGUAGCGUGCAGGAUGGCGGCCCUAUGGGUUGUAAACUGCUUUUAUGUGGGAAUAAAGUGGCGCACGUGUGCGCCAUUGCAUGUACCUCAUGAAUAAGGACCGGCUAAUUCCGUGCCAGCAGCCGCGGUAAUACGGAAGGUCCGGGCGUUAUCCGGAUUUAUUGGGUUUAAAGGGAGUGUAGGCGGUCUGUUAAGCGUGUUGUGAAAUUUAGGUGCUCAACAUUUAACUUGCAGCGCGAACUGUCAGACUUGAGUACACGCAGCGCAGGCGGAAUUCAUGGUGUAGCGGUGAAAUGCUUAGAUAUCAUGAGGAACUCCGAUCGCGAAGGCAGCCUGCGGGAGUGUUACUGACGCUUAAGCUCGAAGGUGCGGGUAUCGAACAGG
rnacentral:rRNA from 1 species